rnacentral:rRNA from 1 species
GAUGAACGCUGGCGGCGUGCCUAAUACAUGCCAGUCGAGCGAACAGACGAGGAGCUUGCUCCUCUGACGUUAGCGGCGGACGGGUGAGUAACACGUGGAUAACCUACCUAUAAGACUGGGAUAACUUCGGGAAACCGGAGCUAAUACCGGAUAAUAUAUUGAACCGCAUGGUUCAAUAGUGAAAGACGGUUUUGCUGUCACUUAUAGAUGGUUCCGCGCCGCAUUAGCUGGUUGGUAAGGUAACGGCUAACCAAGGCAACGAGGCGUAGCCGACCUGAGAGGAUGAUCAGCCAUACUGGAACUGAGAAAAUGUCGAGACUACUAGGGGAGGCAGGAGGGGGGAAUAGGGGAGAAUGGGAGAAAGGAUGAUAGAGCAAGACCGAGUGAAUGAAGAAGGUCUGCGGAGCGUAGAGAUGUUUUAUAGGGAAAGAAAAAAAGUAUGGUAAAAUACAGAGGGUCUGACGGUACCGAAAGAGUAAGAAAAGGCUAAAUUCGUG